UCUCCUUCUUCCUUUUUUUUCUCUCUCUUGGUCGACAGUCGGUGAUGGCUAAAACAAACAGAAACGAAUCGAUUUGCCUCAUCCGCCGUCUGGGUCAUGAAAUUGGACGAGUAAUGGCAAAUAAUCUCUUCUUUCAUCCGUCUUGAGCAUCAUAUAAACAUACGGUGGUUACUAUCUGUGAAGUCGAUGAGCCUAAUCGGCGAUUUUGGGAUUCCAAAUAGGAGAGUUUGGUGAAACGAUGCUCUAAUAUGCUUUUCCUGAUCAAAGGAGACAAAAUUGGCUACUGCAGAUGGUUUUGUGUUUUAUUAUGUUUUCGGUUUCAAUCAGUUUUGGCAAGUUGACAAGUAAAAGAAGAUGGCAAGCUGACAUGUAAAAGAAGAUGGCAAGCUGACAUGUAAAAGAAGGUGGCAGGAAGGACAAGUUAAAGAAGAUGGCAAGGCAAGCUGUAUCUUUUUUUGAUUCAUUUUGUUUUAUUUGGUUCAGUUUGUUUCAGUAUUACAAGUUAAGCAAAUUUAAAUUUUCAAAAUAUUCAUUAUUUCUAAGAAACCUUCUACCUUUUACCAUUGGAGGAGGAUAAAUUUUAGAACAACUUAGGGUA